GCCGGGUGUGGUGGCACAUGCCUGUAGUCCCGGCUACUUGGGAGGCUGAGGUAGGAGAAUUGCUUGAACCCGGGAGGCGGAGGCUGCAAGUGAGUCGAGAUUGUGCCACUGCACUAGAUUUAUAUUCUUCACCAAUAUCAGGAGCUAUUGCUUUUUUUUUUUUUUUUUUUGAGAUGGAGUCACGCUGUGUCGCCCAGGAUGGAGUGCAGUGGCACGAUCUCUCACUGCAGCCUCCGCCUCUCAGGUUCAAGCGAUUCUUCUGCCUCAG
rnacentral:SRP_RNA from 1 species